UGGGAGGCUGAUAUACAAAUUGAGCUAAGUACUGCUCUAAUUGUCACCAUUCCUCCCUAAUAAACUGCUAUUUUUAUUGAUUUCAGAGAGGAAGAGAGAGCGACAGAGAGACAGAAACAU